AGAACGAACGCUGGCGGCAUGCCUAAUACAUGCAAGUCGAACGAACUCUUCGGAGUUAGUGGCGCACGGGUGCGUAACGCGUGGGAAUCUGCCCCUUGGUUCGGAAUAACAGUUGGAAACGACUGCUAAUACCGGAUGAUGACGAAAGUCCAAAGAUUUAUCGCCAAGGGAUGAGCCCGCGUAGGAUUAGCUAGUUGGUGAGGUAAAGGCUCACCAAGGCAACGAUCCUUAGCUGGUCUGAGAGGAUGAUCAGCCACACUGGGACUGAGACACGGCCCAGACUCCUACGGGAGGCAGCAGUGGGGAAUAUUGGACAAUGGGCGAAAGCCUGAUCCAGCAAUGCCGCGUGAGUGAUGAAGGCCUUAGGUUGUAAAGCUCUUUACCGGGAUGAUAAUGACAGUACGGAGAAUAAGCUCCGGCUAACUCCGUGCCAGCAGCCGC
rnacentral:rRNA from 1 species